CCCACACUAGCAAAAAUCCUUUCUUAAGUUUCUUCUAUCCCACAGCAUUCAGACUCUUUCCAAAACGUAAGGCCAUUUUCCCAUAAAACAUAAUAUCCCACUUAGAGUUGGCAAAUUCAAUAAUUCGGAAGCAAUCAAGAUCUAAUUAUUUUUUUUCCAUAUAACUAACUUUUUAAUGAAAGCAACAAGUCAUUUUUAAAACAAGAUCUAAUUAUUUUAAACACUCAUUUUCCAACUCAAUAGCUAAUUAAGAGUUUAAGAUCAUAAAAACCCAAAAAUCAAAAAAUUCCUUUUACCCUUCUACCC
rnacentral:lncRNA from 1 species